GGCCUCUGAGGUGCACUCACCGGUUAAGACGGGUGGGAGUGCUUUCCAGUUCACGCUAGCGUCUCUCAAACUGUCCUAAGAAAAUACUGGAUCAGCUCAUACAUGUAUGCUCCUUAUGCCCUCACUUGGAAGGCUGUUGCAGGGAGAGGCUGGGCAGUGUCACCACACGUGCGUGGUCCUGGCCUUUGGAGUCUGAGGCCUCAGGGCCCCGUCAUCACUUGCCCAAAAGAUCCUUUCCAGCAGCGAAGGAACUAAUCACACUUGUGUGAAAACAUCAGAACUGGCUUUGCAGUGCACUUUCGGGCACAGGUAUUAACUUAUUUUUGUGUUUGACAGAAGUAAAAUCUUAUGACUUUUAGUCACUUUGUUAAUACUUCCAAAUUGUGAUCUUUCUUAAGGAAAUACUGCAAAAAUUUUAAAUAUGGUUCCUCCCUCUGUCCAAAAACUGUUAAACUAAUGAACAAAUAACACUAACUUUGAAUGUCCCUAGAAUACCAGGUGGCAACUCGGCGAAACCAGACUUUGGGGUAGUGGCCCGAGCCUGCAGGGCUCCUCUCCCUGGGGCUCACCAGGCCCCCUGCUGUGACCGUGGAUGUGCCUGGCGCUCGGCCCUGCGUGCGCAGCUGUGUUCUGAGGACGAGGUGACUUCCUGAACUUCACUUCUGUCAUUCAUGUGAGGCAAAACACAAAAACUGCCCCCACCCCUCAGGAUUCCUUGGCAUCUGAAACCAACCAGGAUCUGCACCUAAACCCAGAUCCACCCGCGUGUCCUCACAGGGGAUGUGUCUGAUUGGGCAGCUUAGAAUGUCACCUGUGGGGAAACUCCUCAGGCACCUCAAGUGAGGACCCAGCUGUCGGUCCUCAAGCCGGCCUUCCCGGUGACACCCGCCUGCGGCCGUCUGGGUCCCCUUCAGUGUUUGUCUUGACAUUAAACCCCAACGUGUGCAGUGCCCACCUUCCAGAACUACCUGUUUUAUAAUUAAAGUUAAUACAAAUGACUGUCAGUUGCCAAAUAUCUUGAUCCUGUGAGUGUAGUUGGCUGUUGUUAGUGGGUCGAUAAAAUGCUGUCCGUGGGUAUUGCGGCAGCGCCGCACUCUGCUGAGGUGCAAAAUGCCGUCAGAAAUUAAAUGCAAACUUAAAUGUGCCGAUUGGUGUCUAAACUUCAUACAAUAUAAGGUCGGAUUCCUUUUAGGAAUACUGGGUGCUGUCACCAGGUUUGAUAGUUAGACUUAAAAACUUGAAAUUCACUUUUGGGGGGGGAUAUACUCAACUAGAGACUUGAGACUUGCCAGUUGGGGAAAAUAGCAUUUAAAGUGGAAAGCUGUGUUUGGAAAAUAGUGUAUGAGUAUUUUUGUAUUAAAAACAUUUUAAAGGCUUUUUUCUUAUUUUAUAUGGGAUUGUGUUUUUUUCCAGUUGCUCAGCAUGGUAAGGCGCUGAUGGCACUGAUGCCUCUGAGGGUGGGGCUCCCUGUCCUGACCGUGCCGUUUUGCUUUUGACCUGCUGGGGAGAGGCAGUGCCACCUUUGGAAGUAGAACAAAUACUGGAAGUAGCAGGGGUGAAACGGUCUGGGGAGAAAGAACCGCUGCUGUCCCUCAGCCCUGAGCCAGGCGGUCCCCAGGCCCGCAGCCAGGUCCAGGGAGUACCCCGAGGGCUGAUCCUACCUGUUCCCCCCUCCCUGUGAGCCAGGGUGUACUAGGGAGCUCCCAGCCCUGGACCACCCCGUCCUGAUGGCCGCUUACGGAGGGACUGGGUCCCCAGUGCAGGGAGGACAAGCUAGCCCGAAACACAGCUAUGGUGGCUUUCUUUAGAAAAGCUAAACUUUAAUUGUUCAGAUAAUUUUACAAUGAAAAUAAGUACCCAAAGACUGUCGUAAAUGUCCACAACUGUACAAAAGAUGAAUACAAAACUCCCCGGCAGGCACUGGCAGGGGAUGAGGCCCACCGUCUCCCACACUCUGGUGUGGUUGGGUGUUCCUGCCCACCCCCAGCAUCACCGAUGCCACCUUGGUCCCCUCAACCUUGGGGGCGGGAGGGCACUGCCCCAGCGAGGGAAGGUCCUUACUCGCUGUCAGUGGAAUUUCUUUAAGAAAAGAUUGUUAAAAGUAAGAGUCUAACAGAGCUGUCACUAAAAUUAGGAAGUUGUAACUUUUGGUUAACUUACUACAUUCAAAAAUGUAACGCUGAGUC